rnacentral:rRNA from 1 species
GUUUGUAAUAGAAGAAACUUUUGUUUAUUAUAUAAAUAGAAAAAUUAUUUUUAAUUAUAGUUAAUUAGUAAAGUGAUUGAAAUUAAAUAAUAUGUUUAAAAGAAAAAUUUAUUUUUUGUACCUUGUGCAUCAGGGCUGAUUUAUAAGAAUUUAUAUAAUUAUAAUUUUCUCGAAUUUUAAAGAGUUAAUUAAUUAUUUAUUUAAAUGUAAAAUAAUUUUUUAAAAUAAUUAAUUUGAAGUGAAACGCUAUUCGAUUUUUAAGAUAUCUAGUUUUUUAAGAAAAGAAUUUAAUUCUAUUAUUAUUUAUUUAAAUUUUAAUUUUUAAAAUUUAAGUUUUAAUAUUAAAAAUUUAAUGGGAUGAUCUUUUAAUUUUAAAAUUAAAAAUUUUUAGAAUUUAAUUUUUUGUAUAAUUUAAAUUGUUAAUCAUAAAUAAUUUUAUAGUUAGGUAUUUAUAAAUUAAGAUUUAAAUUGUUUUAAUUUUUAUAUUAAAAAGAAAUGUUUAAUUUUUAACUUUUGAAAUAAUGAUUAGAUUAGUAAUAUAUAAUUUUAUUUUAUUAAAUGUUCAUAAGGUUAGAAAAAGGAAUUCGGCAAAAAAUUUUCUGCCUGUUUAUUAAAAACAUGUCCUUUUGAAGAUGAUUUAAGGUCUAAUCUGCUCAAUGAAUUAUUAAAUAGCCGCAGUAUUUUAACUGUGCGAAGGUAGCGUGAUAAUUAGUUUCUUAAUUAGAAACUUGUAUGAAUGAUUUGACAAGAAAAUUUCUGUCUCUUUCUAAUUAUUUAUUAAUUUAACUUUUAGGUUAAAAGGCUUAAAUAUUUAUAAAAGACGAGAAGACCCCAUAGAGUUUAAUUUUUUAUUUUGUUUUAGUAUAAUUUUAAUAUUUAAAAAAAUUAGUUGGGGUAACUUAAAGAUAUAAUAAAUUCUUUAAAUAUAAAAUCAUUGAUUUAUGAAUUUGAAAUCUAAAUUAUUAAAUUUAAAUAAAGUUACCUUGGGGAUAACAGCGUAAUUUCUUUUUAGAGUUCUUAUCAAAUAAGAAGAUUGCGACCUCGAUGUUGGAUUAAAAUAAAGUUUAGGUGUAGAAGCUUAAAUAUUAAGUCUGUUCGACUUUUAAAAUUUUACAUGAUCUGAGUUUAAACCGGUGUAAGCCAGGUUGGUUUCUAUCUUUAUAAAAAUUUAAUGUUUUAGUACGAAAGGACCAAGCAUAAGAUAAAUUAUUUUAAAUUUGAGUAAUAUUGUUACUUUGGCAGACUAGUGCGA